UAGGGAAUCUUCGGCAAUGGGGGCAACCCUGACCGAGCAACGCCGCGUGAGUGAAGAAGGUUUUCGGAUCGUAAAGCUCUGUUGUAAGUCAAGAACGGGUGUGAGAGUGGAAAGUUCACACUGUGACGGUAGCUUACCAGAAAGGGACGGCUAACUACGUGCCAGCAGCCGCGGUAAUACGUAGGUCCCGAGCGUUGUCCGGAUUUAUUGGGCGUAAAGCGAGCGCAGGCGGUUUGAUAAGUCUGAAGUUAAAGGCUGUGGCUCAACCAUAGUUCGCUUUGGAAACUGUCAACUUGAGUGCAGAAGGGGAGAGUGGAAUUCCAUGUGUAGCGGUGAAAUGCGUAGAUAUAUGGAGGAACACCGGUGGCGAAAGCGGCUCUCUGGUCUGUAACUGACGCUGAGGCUCGAAAGCGUGGGGAGCGAACAGGAUUAGAUACCCUGGUAGUCCACGCCGUAAACG
rnacentral:rRNA from 1 species